rnacentral:misc_RNA from 1 species
GCUACCUCGAUGUUGAAUUAAGAAAAGAUCUAAUAGAAGAAAAUUAGAUUAUAGGUCUGUUCGACCUUUAAAUUCUUACAUGAUUUGAGUUAAGACCGGUGUAAGCCAGGUUGGUUUCUAUCUUCAUAAUAAAAGUUUUUAUAGUACGAAAGGACCUAAAAACUUAAUUUUAUUAAUUAAUUAGCUUAUAUAAAGCAAGUAUUUUGAAAAUACUAGAAAGAUUAAAAAAUUUAUUAAUUUUAUGU